AUUAUGAACAAACUAGACUCAUUUUCCAGACUCUCAGAAUUUACGGAUUCUGAUUUGCACCUUUAAUUAUUUUUCUAUGAAUUUUCUAAAAACAGAAUAGAAAUGAAAAUACUAGAAAAAUGUUUUCAAUUUCAUUUACACUUUGUAACUUGUUGAGCAAGGUGUGUACCUUCAUGUGAUGAUAUGUUAUUAUCAUAUAUGUCAUUUUGUCUUGUUAUAUAGACAUACAUCAGAAAAUAAAUGGAUUCUUACCUUCAUAAGUAUGGUAAAUAUAUAAAUGGUAUUACAAGGCUAUAUCCAUUGAAAUACAAACAUUGGUAAACUAUGACAAGUAUAGUUUAUGCUCACUACCCCAAUAAAUAUUUACUAAACUAUAAUAGGUAUAGUUUAGGAUUCAUUUACAUAACAAGCACAUUACUAAAGGUAUUACACAUACAAAAGGGUUACUACCAUUAUGAAUAAUUUUGAUAAACUAUAAUAAGUAUAGUUAAGUCCAUUAUACCCCCACAAACGAAUACGCUAGUUAUAAUCAGUAUAGUUAUGACGUAUAUACAUUACAAACAAAGUGAUAAACUAUAAUAGGUAUAGUUUAUGUUUUAUCUACACUACGAACUUAAUUACAAGAAAGGGAUUCACCAUCACCAUCACUUUUGAUAAGCUAUAAUAUGCAUAGUUCAUGUUCACUACCACUAUCGCUAUUUGAUGAACUAUGAUAUGUAUAGUUUAUAUUCACCAUCACCACCACUUUUGAUAAACUAUAAUAUGCAUUGUUCAUGUUCACUAGUCAAUAUCACUAUCGGAUGAACUAUGAUAUGUAUAGUUUGUGUUCACAGCCUCUAUUACUAUUUCGUACACUACACUAGGGGUUUGGUUUCGGUUUUUGGUUUGGAGACUACAUUCAAUCUAGAAUUGUUAGUUUUCAACUGUAAUUUCUAAGUGUAUAUGCUAGAGUUAUGUAGAACCUAGUCGUGAUUGGCCUAGAAUUGGUGGGUCCGCCUUAUUUCAUGUUCCUUGUUUGGUAGUGGGCCUAGGGCAGACCCAUUACAUUCGACGUUUUAUCUAAAUUUAAUUUUAUAUAGCUUAUAUACAAAAGGAAAUUAUAGAAGGAAACUAUAGGGAAUUCUAGGAUGCACUAUUUCAUAACAUAGAAACUUACAUUUCACAAUUUAAGGAAAAUAUCGGAUUUUCUAGAACAACUUAAUUGCUUUUACAAGGAAAAACAGUUUAUUUCUUAAUUAAAACUCUUAUGAACUCACCAAACUUUGUGUUGACACUUUUUCAAACAACUUGUAUUCUCAGGAAAUUAGUAAACAGGUAAAUCAACUGCUUUCAAGGACGGGACGCUAAGGCGAUAAAUUCAAAACUUAUUUUGUCAUAAUGAUGUAAUUGAUUUUGAAACAUUUAAACUUACUCUAUGAUGUAACUCUUUCAAUUAUAUUGAUGAUGGUUGUGUUUGCUUUCUUCACUAUUACAUUCGUUGUUAUGAUACUACAUAUGAAGUCAUCCACCCCCAAACGUUUCCGCCAAUCUGGUUUGGGGGUGUGAUAGAUUGGUAUCAGAGCAUUGUUUAUAGUGAACUAAGUAUAUCGAACCAUAUAAGAUAUACAAACUAUAAAUACAUUGGGACUGAAAGCCUCUGAUUUAACAUAUUCCAAAUAACUAUACUUUUAGAAACAAAUAAUUUCUCGGUAAAAGUAUGAGCACGUGCACACACACUAGGGCCAGUAUCAUGGCGGGAUGGAACAAAAGUGGUGAUUGUUGAACAAUACGAGUAGGCUUGGGGAUGUAUAGUCAGGUUUGGGAAUGACAUAGCCUGAUCAACUUUGUCUCACCCAGAAGUGAUUAGCAUAUGCCCAGGAAUGGUCGUAGGUGUUGCAACAAGUCUAAAAACUUACCAACUCUAUCUACAAAGAAACAUUGGGAACAUAAGACAAAUAUUAAAGUACUAUAGGAGUACUUUGAGGUACUAUAACUAACUUAUGUGAAAACUAAAGACCCCUAUUAGUUGGUCUAAAACGACAAAGUGCAUACGCUAAGGUUAUACAUAAUCAAAGAUAUUAUAGAUUCAGAAUCUAUGACUAUUGCUCUACUUCCUGUUCCUCGUUUGGUUGUGGAUUUAGAGUAGAGACAUUUAUUCGAAGGCCUAUUUUAUCUCAGAUUAUGUAUAACUGGUAUGCACUAUGUGAUUAUAGAAGUGACUAAUAAGGAUCACCCCUAUAAGUAAUUAUAGGAGUAAACAUCUAUUCUCUUCUACCCUGUUCUCGCACAAACAACGUGGAGGGAACCCAACUACCGAGAGACCUCUAUUCUCCUAACUGGGACGAUGGUGGCUAGAACAAAGAGAAUCUUGAAGAGGAUCCUAAAGGAGUAAUAGGCAAAGAGCCCGAAGAGGAUCCGAAAGAGAAUCCGGAAAGAGCAAAACCGAAUGAAGACGAAGACAAAGGGAAAUAGGAGAAGACUCUGACGAAGAGCUCAAAGCCUGCAACACACCCUUCAGUAUCCCCCACCCCGACGAAACUUCCAUGGUCAAACACCUUAAUAAACCGUAGAUUUAAAUAGAUAGAACUUGGAACAAGAUGAAACACCCCUCUGGAGUAUAGAAAGAGGCUUCUACAACCUCAAAAGGGGAGGAUUAGUAGACAUGGCCCUCUUUCCAUAGUAUACCGCAUCGCUCACCAAAGGAUACAAACACAAGCACUGGUUAACCGAAUCAGGAAGGUUAGCACUAUCACCAAGAUCACCGCAAUGCGCCUUUGUCUCCUGGAUAGAGAACAUGACAAGUAAGGGACCGCAUCAAGGGCUUCAGAUAAAAGUAACCACAACUUAAGCCACACAUCGCAGAACAAUGGGAACGUCAAACAAGUAUUAGAGGAAAUGCAGGAUGAAAGCAGACCAUCGGAGAACAAAAAUCAAAGUGGAGGCUAGGGCAAUGCGGACCUUCAUGUCUUUACUCUAUAACCCACAGAGCAUCACCAGCCACAAGUAGGGUGUACACCAUUAGCAUAUCGGUAUAGACUGGGUCUACUAGCAUGCAUCUAACGACUACCCCCCAUAUAUGUAUGGAGACAUUCGAAUCCUUCAGAAUCCGGAGACUACACUAUUCAAGGGAACCGUAGCAUUUUCAAAAUUUUUCCUUACAUUAAUGAGAUGUAGAUCUAUUUUCCUCGAACCCUAUACAAUAAAUUAUAUUAAAGAAAUUGGCUCAUAUUAAAAUUCAUUGGGAACUUUCCACGUAUUUCAUAACUCAGUAAUACAAACAAUUUACUUAUGGUAACUCCAAGAAAUUCUUAAUGUACACCUCCAGGUCGGGUGUAAUUAAGGGAUAAUCGACUUAGAAAUGGUGAGUCCGCCUUGGGUCCUGUUCCUCGUUUGGUUGUGGGCCUAGGGCAGACUCAUUAAGUUCGAAGGCCUAUUAGACCUUAAUUAUACACGAUUGGUAUAUAUACCAAGUGAUUUUAGGAGGGGAUCAGGCAUAAAACAAAUCACAAGUUACAUUUGAGUCACUACCACUAAAUUCAUUCAUAGGGGCUUUGUUAUGAAUUAUAUACAAAAUACUUUUAAGUCGGAACAUAAUACAGACAAGUCUGGCUUGAUAACAUCCGACUUGUCACUACUAUUAGAAACUUAUCGUCUGUUCAUCUCUACCUACUUAUGACAGGACUAUGCCACCAAAGAAAAAGUCCAGACCUUCCAGCAGCACAUCACCAACACUACCUCCACCACUACCUCCGCAGUUUGAUCCCAUAAUGUUUCAAGCUGCCGUAACAGCAGCCGUGGCAGCUGCAAUGUCACAAAUUGGUACAAAUGGUACUGGUGGUGUGGGAUCUGGAGCCACAAACUCUAACCACGGGGACAGUACAGGACGCGCAAAGGAAUGCACUUACAAGGACUUCACGAAUGGAAAACCUGAUUCUUUCAAUGGAACCGGGGGCAUCAUCGCACUAAUGCAAUGUUUCGAGAGAAGCGAAGCAGUCUUCGAAAUUUGUGCUUGCCCCGAAGCGAGCAAAGUCAAGUACACGACAUUCACCUUCAUCAGAAGAGCUCUCACUUGGUGGAACGGCCGAGUUAAGUCGCUUACGCUUGCAGUGGCUAACUCGUUAAGUUGGGAGGACUUAAAGAAGAUGAUGCUGAAAGAGUACUGCCCAAGAGGCGAAGUACAAAAACUAGAGCAAGAACUGUGGAAUCUCAAGAUGAUAGGCUCUGACCUUGCAACCUACACCGACCGAUUCUGUGAUCUAGCACUCCUUUGCCCCGCGAUGGUCAUUCCUGAGGAAAUGAAGGUGGAACGAUAUCACUGGGGAUUGUCUCCCCAAAUUCAAGAUAGUGUGAUUGCUUUAAGACCAACUACCUUUGAAAGUGCCAAGGAGUUGGCACAACAACUCAUCGACCAUAGGGCCAGUCACGGUACAAUGACAGCCACCCCUGAGCUAGAUGGCCAAGGAAAUAAUAAAAGGAAAUCUUGGGACAACGAGAGGAAUCGAUCAGCCCAAGACCCCACCAAUAGGUAACAGAUCGUCGCUGUUCAUGUUGUCACCACCCAUGCCACUCCCACACCCAUAAAUCGAUACGCUGGAACCCUUCCGAAAUGUAACAAGUGUAGCUUCCAUCACACUGGGGCUUGUAGAGAAUUGCAUUGCAUGAACUGCAACAGGAAGGGGUAAACUACCCGUUUCUGUAGGGCACCGGUACGACCCAUCAACCAGCUCCCCGGCGUUGGAGCAAGCCCAACUUGUUACGAGUGCGGUGAAAUGGGACACUUUAAGAGAGAUUGUCCAAGGAUAAGGAAUGUUGGUAACGGUGGAAGGGUACUUAUGAUCACCGCAGGAGAAACUUCCCCAGAACCACCCGUGAAUAAUGGUACGCGCUCCUGACCACCACAUGUAGGAUUUAAAUCUUACUAAAACUAGGGUCAAUUUAGGGUUUAUCAACCAUAAAUCUCACAAAAACGAUGAACCCAAGCAAGUCUUAUCACAUAUAUAAAACAUAGGGUUUUUAUUAGUGAAUUUGCAAUGGCUAGUGUAAACGUUAUGGCCAUAUAUCAUUAAGAUUCUACGGACUUAGAAUGUAUAAUUCCGCCUUAUUUCCUGUUCCUUGUUUGGUUGUGGGCUUAAGGCGGAGUCACUCAUUCGACUACCCUUGCAAUCUUAAUGAUAUAUGACCGGUUUACACCUAACGAUUAUAAACAAACCGGUAGGACUUAUAAUACAAAUUUCAUCACUGAUUGUCAAAGCAUUCGUAAUACCAGUACUCACUAACUACAACCUGAAAUAUUCAUUGUAGUGAUAGCGAGAGUAAAGCGGAGAAUGUAAAGGCAUGCGUAGAGUACACUAUCAUACCAAAAUAAUAAACUCCUGUUAAUUGACUUAGCUCAAGUUACAGUAAGAAAUUCCAAUGUCGUCAUUUAACAUCAGGCGGAUUGGUCCCCGCCAUAUCAAUUUCUUGUACUACGAAAAGCUUUGCCCAUCUUUCCUCCAAAUUCUUGAAUCCCCAAUCAAAAUGCAAAUUUCAGGAUGAAAUUCCCUCUAACGGGGGGAUGAUGUGACAACCGUCAAAUUCUGGUCAAGUCAAAGUCAAAUAAAGUCAACAAGUCAAACCGGUCACCUCAGUUAACCCUUGUAUACUAGGGAUUACGUUAUGUAAUUACUAAACAACUCGUUAUUCUAAUGAGAGAUCAUAGAUUGAAAAGUUCCUACAUCUAGAUUUCCUUAACCUAAAAUUGCGUCAAGUAAUGAACCAAACCGAUAAAACAAUGUUGCAUACUCAUUGGGAGUGAGUGAGAUCCUUAAACAUGGCUUAACAGGGCUUACGAACCUCGUGUUGCGGAGCCAAACACUCAGAAAUGUCACACACAAAAACCUCUCUCAAUCAUUUUCACUCUAUCUCUCUUUAUCUAGAAUCUCUCCCAAAUCUCUCUAAGUAUGUCAAAUCUCUCCCAAAUCUCUCCAAGAAUGUGAAAUCUCUCCCAAAUCUCUCUUUAUAUGAGAAAUCUCUCCAAGAAUGUGAAAUAUCUCCCAAAUCUCUCUAAGUAUGUGAAAUCUCUCCCAAAUCUCUCUUUGUAUGAGAAAUCUCUCCAAGAAUGUGAAAUCUCUCCCAAAUCUCUCUCAAAAGUUCCUUAAACUUUUUAUAGUCUUUCAGGCCAUCCCGACCCUUAACCAGGUCAAAAACGGCUUGAAACGGGUUAAAAACGAGUAAAAUAGGCUUAAGGACCCGAAACCCCUCUUUGGGCCGAAAGUCCUCUUAGGGACCGAACCCUCUUGGACCGAACCCGAAGGCUGCUGNAUUUCGCUUCCUGACUCACCCGCGCCUUCGGUCCCAGCCUUCUAAGGACCGAACCUAGCCACCUUCGGCCCCCCCUUGCGAGAAGCCUCGCAGAGAGCCCAUUUCUUCCCGGUUUUUGAUUCCGACUUCGUUUUUCAUCAUUUUAACGCAAGAUUUUCACACAAAACUUUAUUUUAACAUAUAAGGCCCCAUAUUUACUAAUUAUCCACAUUUUUGGGGAUAAACCUUAUCCAAGAAGAGUGGGUGAAGUACAAGAGGUGGAGUGUUGACUUUCCUUUAUUCUAUGAAACAAGCAACCACUCCCAUACCCACUCCAUGUCACUAUUCACCAUCAGCCCAUACCUAAUCAUUUCAUGGUACUUUUCCCACCAUUUUUCAGCCACACACUUGGUCAAGGGUUAGAAAACUCUCCUCUCUCCUCACAUUUCUUUCAUAUCCUCUCAUUCCUCCAUCAAGAACAAACUUCAUUUUCUCUCAUUUUCUCUCUCGAAAAUUCGAGAUUCAAGGCUAUACUCCAAGCUUUUCUUCUACUUUUUGUAAGUAUUAACAUCCUCCAUAUGAUUAUUUCACUUCCUUCUACUCAAAUCAUAGAUAUCUUACACAAACUCCAUCCUAUUGGUGUUAGAUCUUUGAAUCUUCAAGCAAUCUCCCAAAGUGUUCUUAAGUUGAACACUUCUUUUCUCCAUCAUACAUCUACUGAAAUCACAUAAGGUGGGUUCAUACCCCUACAUUUUUAUGUUUUCUCAAGUUUUUAUGGUGGAAAUACAAGUUAAAACACCAAGAACAUAACUAAAAUUUUCAAACAGCUUUCAUAAGAAAAGUUGGACUCCAUUCACGGACUGUUUUGGACAACUUAAACACUUUAGUUUUCAAAACUGUUUUAGGUGCAAGUAGUUCCGAUUCUUAGCUUUAAAAUGACUACUUUCACAUCUCCAUACGGUGUUUCUACAAUUUAUGGUGAUUUUUACAAAACUGCCUAUCAUUUCAAACAUCAAUCCGGACCAGUCUGUGAUUAUGGAUUUUUUCACACAAGUUGGAGGUCAUUAAAAUUUAUAAUAAAAAUUAUGAACAAACUAGACUCAUUUCCCAGACUCUCAGAAUUUACAGAUUCUGAUUUGCACCUUUAAUUAUUUUUCUAUGAAUUUUCUAAAAACAGAAUAGAAAUGGAAAUACUAGAAAAAUGUUUUCAAUUUCAUUUACACUUUGUAACUUGUUGAGCAAGGUGUGUACCUUCAUGUGCUGAUAUGUUAUUACCAUAUAUGUCAUUUUGUCUUGUUAUAUAGACAUACA
rnacentral:lncRNA from 1 species